rnacentral:lncRNA from 1 species
CGCCUUGUGUGAUUUCUCACUGCCGCGCUAACCCUAGAUAGGUUGCUAGCCGCUGUUAUUUUACCUGCUUCGCAGCCCUCCUUACAUCAUCAGGGGAAUACCUACUGAUGUUAGUCACAGAGACAAUUCAUCCUAUGAUCGAUGUUGGAGUUUAGGGACGCUUUGCCCUAACUGCCGCCGCCGCCGCCGUGUUGUGCCUUCCAAAAAACAUAACUUGAGAUACCUUCGGUAAAACAGGCAUAACUUUUCGCUCGUUUAUCAGAAAAAUCUGAAGUUUUUAUAGCAGUUUCUUGACACCAUUCGGACCUGACGCAAACUUGGCAAAGCCCUGUUUGGUCUCAUCAAAAUUGCCAAAAGAAUUCAGGAAAAUUAAGAAAAAAAUUGACAAGGGUUCUGCACGCUUUUCAUAGAACUUGCUGAAUUUCUAUAGACCACAUCUGACCUCAGUUGUAGUUGCCUAUUUUUGUGGUUAUAUCUUCUGUGAUCCUUGUUCAGAGAAAAAUAUAAAAAAAUAGUGAAAAAAUAAAAAUUGUGAUUCCUACUAGUGCCCUUUGGGAAAAUCAAGAAAAAAUUAGGAUAAAAGAAAAAUAUGCUCUAUUGCUUGUUCGCUGAGUUCCUUCCAUCAUACUUUGUUUCAGCUUGUUGCGCUACGUCUAGACACGUCUUAGCCAGCAAUUGUGAUUUGUUCUUUGGAUACUUAUUGAACUUAGCUAAUUCUAUAUUCGAAUAUUACUAAUCCUUGCUACUUACAUUAUGCCAGUCCAAAGCUCCACAUAUACUUCUGUCAGCAC